rnacentral:lncRNA from 1 species
AAUCACGUCUCAGUGCAACGGCGAGGUGCCGUGCAUGCAGCUGCCCCGGACACGGGAGGGAGGCUUAGCAAAAAGUGAUUUCAGGGCCAGAGCCACUUCCUGAUCAAAAUUCGGGAUUACUGCUGUAAUCACUGCUGGUGGAACGGGGCCACCGACCCUGCGCAUGACCGCCUUCCUUGGGGGAAGCCAGACAGAAAAGCCAAUUUUCUGCAGUCCUUCCUGUCUCUCCAGAUGAUGUUGAACCGUGGGGGAGAUUAAUCAGAACAACACAGGUGGAUCUGCGCCAGCCCCCAGCGCCCAGCCCGUCAUGCCUUCUUGCAGGUGUGCAUUCACUGAUUGACUCCUUUUCUGCCCCCGACUCCUCCCUCCUUCCAAAAAGCACUGGGACCUUCAGUGAGGGGAUGGUGGCAGGAGGAGGGGGUUUGAGCCCGUCCACUGAGAAGCGGUUUCUUCCAGGGUGGGGGAAAUGUGGUGUCUGCCCAUCCCAGCCACUUGCAGCAUCUCCUGCCAGAAGCCUGCAGUGAAGGCUCAGGGCCUCGAAGGAAGGGACGGUGGGGGAGGGGCCUGGCAGGCGUGCACACAGGCUUGGCCGGGUUGGGGCAGAGGCUGGGCCUGGGCUCUGGGUCGGGAGUGGCAGCCGAGGGCUGGGAUCCCCGAGCUGUGCAGGAAGGGCCCCUGGCAGGGGGUGGACGAGGCCGCCUUGGCUGCUUCUGGGGAUUGGCGGUCUCUGUAGGGCUGUCCGUCUUUUAGUGCCGGCUUCACCUAUACGCCUGCCAUAGUCUCUGCCUUCCUGAGCUGUGCAGGUGUCACUCACGGCCAGCUGGGCAGUGGGUGCCCUGUUGAGACCUCCUGCGUUGCCCGCACGGGCGAGCUCAGAGCUGUGGUUGGUGUGGAUACUGGGCGCCUCUUCUCCAAAUGCAGGAGAAAAGCAGAAGGAUGCAAACAGAGAUGUGGAGAAAAAAUAAACACGAGAACAAACCCGGGACAAGGGUGGGAUUGCACCAAGAUUCCAUUGCUCCCUACUUGCCCAGAGUUGCAGAAACGCAACACAGCUUGCAGCUUGUGGCAGCUGCAAGGUCCUGUGUGACCAGAACACGGGGCUGUUAUUCCGUGAAAGCAAAGCCCUGUGCCUGGCUGUGUGCCCGGGCUGGAGGGCAGUGGCUGUUCACCAGCGCCAUCACGGCUCCCUGCAGCCUCGACCUCCCGGGCUCAAGCCAUCCUCCCACCUCAGCCUCUUCCCAAGUAGCUGGGGCCACAGGUGUGCGCCACCAUGCCCCGCAUUUUUUUUCUGUUUUCUUUUUAGGAGAAUGAGCCAAGCUCUUCGGCCUGAGUCUGCCGUGGUCCUUCGCUUCCACACUGCUGCAGCCAGCCCCUUCCCGGGGUUUUCAUAGAGGCCGCCCUUCCCCCAGUGUCUUUCUGUCAUCAGCCUUAAUUAGGUGAUUCGGAGGUCAGCACAGGGCCCUCUGCCAUGGUGACCUAUGUGCCCCAUCACAGGGAGCUGCAGGCUCACAAGAGGGGUCUCCAUGCUUGUCUAUGGCUGUGGCAGCUCUGCGAAUGCCCCACGAGGGUGUUCUGGAUGAGGGGGGGCUCUGGCCUCUGGCAAAGCAGCGCAGCAUCCAGGACACCAGCAACCGCAGCUGUGAAGGGGGCGUGGGGGUGACGGGUGGUGCCAAGUCUGGAGCACAGGAGACACAGACACGACCACCACUCACAUCACCUUCGCUCAGCCCACUGAGCUCUGCCUCAGCCUCCUUGUGACUUGGAGGGAAAGAACCACCUUCGUAUUUUUCUGCCUGUUUUGCAGAUGAGAAAACCUGAUACCUGUGGGCAGUUCCACGCUGGCAACAGGGGGAUCCCAGGCCUGCACUUUUGAAACAACAAGAAAAGCCGUCCCUGGGGGGUUGCGACCAUGGUGAGUUGACAGCUGGGUGAGCCUGGGCUGAGGGAGGGGGAUUGGGCAGAGCUCCCUGCAGAGCUGCAGGAACGGGGAUGGGAGCACCUGGCCUGCUGCACCCAACCCUGCAUCUCAGCUCAGAGCCCGGCCCAGAGCCCAGGGA